AUUGAACGCUGGCGGCAGGCCUAACACAUGCAAGUCGAACGGUAGCACAGAGAGCUUGCUCUCGGGUGACGAGUGGCGGACGGGUGAGUAACGUCUGGGAAACUGCCCGAUGGAGGGGGAUAACUACUGGAAACGGUAGCUAAUACCGCAUAACGUCGCAAGACCAAAGUGGGGGACUUUCGGGCCUCACACCAUCGGAUGUGCCCAGAUGGGAUUAGCUAGUAGGUGGGGUAAUGGCUCACCUAGGCGACGGUCCCUAGCUGGUCUGAGAGGAUGACCAGCCACACUGGAACUGAGACACGGUCCAGACUCCUACGGGAGGCAGCAGUGGGGAAUAUUGCACAAUGGGCGCAAGCCUGAUGCAGCCAUGCCGCGUGUAUGAAGAAGGCCUUCGGGUUGUAAAGUACUUUCAGCGGGGAGGAAGGCGGUGAAGUUAAUAGCUUCACCGAUUGACGUUACCCGCAGAAGAAGCACCGGCUAACUCCGUGCCAGCAGCAGCCGCCG
rnacentral:rRNA from 1 species